GCUUACGGCCAUACCAACCUGGCUAUGCCCGAUUCUCGUCUGAUCUCGGAGCUAAGCAGGUUUGGGCCUGGUUAGUACUUGGAUGGGAGACCGCCUGGGAAUACCAGGUGCUGUAAGCU
rnacentral:rRNA from 1 species